GAAUUUGAUUUAGUUUAGCGGCGGACGGGUGAGUAACGCGUGAGUAACCUGCCUUUCAAGAGGGGGAUAACAUUCUGAAAAGAAUGCUAAUACCGCAUGACAUAUCGGAACCACAUGGUUCUGAUAUCAAAGAUUUUAUCGCUUGAAGAUGGACUCGCGUCCGAUUAGUUAGUUGGUGAGGUAACGGCCCACCAAGACCGCGAUCGGUAGCCGGACUGAGAGGUUGAACGGCCACAUUGGGACUGAGACACGGCCCAGACUCCUACGGGAGGCAGCAGUGGGGGAUAUUGCGCAAUGGGGGCAACCCUGACGCAGCAACGCCGCGUGAAGGAUGAAGGUUUUCGGAUUGUAAACUUCUUUUAUUAAGGACGAAAAAUGACGGUACUUAAUGAAUAAGCUCCGGCUAACUACGUGCCAGCAGCCGCGGUAAUACGUAGGGAGCAAGCGUUGUCCGGAUUUACUGGGUGUAAAGGGUGCGUAGGCGGCUUUGCAAGUCAGAUGUGAAAUCUAUGGGCUCAACCCAUAAACUGCAUUUGAAACUGUAGAGCUUGAGUGAAGUAGAGGCAGGCGGAAUUCCCCGUGUAGCGGUGAAAUGCGUAGAGAUGGGGAGGAACACCAGUGGCGAAGGCGGCCUGCUGGGCUUUAACUGACGCUGAGGCACGAAAGCGUGGGUAGCAAACAGGAUUAGAUACCCUGGUAGUCCACGCUGUAAACGAUGAUUACUAGGUGUGGGGGGUCUGACCCCUUCCGUGCCGGAGUUAACACAAUAAGUAAUCCACCUGGGGAGUACGGCCGCAAGG
rnacentral:rRNA from 1 species